AGGGGCGGGCAGGGCAGCCCCCCCGGCAUCCCCAGAACACGCUCGGGCAAAGCCAACCCGCGUUGGGCUCUCGCACGCCAGCGCCACGCUGGUCUGCUUUGGCGGAGCUGGGUGCAGACCCACCUGGGGGUUGAAGGCUUACGGCUGCCCGUUGGAGCGAAGCCGAGAGACGGAAGCCCGGCCCGGCGCGCGAGAACCGGAGCGAUGCCAUCCAUCGAGUGGCUGGAGAGAGGGCUGGGAUGGCAACGCGGGUCUCAGGCCUGGCUAAUACUCGGCGGGGGCCUACGCGGUGGGCUAGGUUAGGAGGCUGGAAUUGCACCCAGGAAUAAAGCAGCCACAAACCGCGGAUUUGCCAGGAAGACUGUGCGGAGGUGUCCAUGUGAUCCCCAGAAGUGGGGGGGCACUGAAGCUCCCCACAUCUGCUAUGGGGAGACUCGGAGCCAAUCAUGACAAGGAGGCAGGAGGGAGAUUUAAUUCAUCCAUCUGGGGAAGCACACCUGAAAACCUCAAAUGGAAGCUGUUUGUAAACACUGUAAAGAACAAGUCUGGACACAUUUGUUUAAUGGGAAGUGUUAAAUGUUAAGGCCUGGAUGUGCUGAUUGUCUCUCUUGAUGAGCAAUGGUCUCUGAUUUCUGCUACUUAUUUCUAAUAAAUCAUUGGCCCUA